UACAGAGGGCGCGAGCGUUGUCCGGAAUCAUUGGGCGUAAAGCGCGUGUAGGCGGCUUGGCAAGUCAGUUGUGAAAGCCCGGGGCCCAACCCCGGAACUGCAUCUGAAACUGCUUGGCUAGAGUCCCGGAGAGGAAGGCAGAAUUCCCGGUGUAGGGGUGAAAUCCGUAGAUAUCGGGAGGAAUACCAGCGGCGAAGGCGGCCUUCUGGACGGUGACUGACGCUGAGACGCGAAAGCGUGGGGAGCAAACAGG
rnacentral:rRNA from 1 species